CUUCAGGAUGUGCUUAUUAUAAUACACGUCCAACCACAUUCCCCUAAACAUGAUAACUACAUUAUGUAAAUGCUUGAUAUCAAUGUGUUUCCACAUGAGACUAACCCUGGAAAAUGGUGAGUCUCCAGCCUGGAAAAAGGAAAGGUUAGAAUGAAGAAAACCUAGAAAAUCAUGAACACACGUGAGAGACAGGCUCAGUCUGUUCAUUAAAUUCCGGGACACUCAAGUUAGAGAACACCCUCUGAAGCUUAAGAGAGGUCAUUUUAGACUUUAUACCAUGGAUGGUAAGUUCAUGAAGCUUAGCUCCAGAAGUAGUGCAGCCUCAGAAUGAAAAUGAGUUCAAGGAAAUGUUAAAUCAGUGGACAACAGAUUUAGAGAGGGUUUGUAUCAUUUAUCAUCACAGCAAACACUUAUUGAGUGCCACAACCUGUUGGGGCUCACACUAGGGCCCUUGAACCUGUUGAAGUUGACACCAUGAAGGCAAUUACAGUGUCCCAUGACACAGUCCCCUCAAGCCACUGCCAGAAUCCUGGCUUGGUUGUCAGCAAUCUCACCUAGAGCGAUGAGCUGUUUGUUCUUGUCCUUCAGCUCCAGCAUGAUGAAGGACAUUAUAUGAAUGAUUUAUCAUGUUAGUUAUGAAUGCUACAAGUUUAGACAAACCAUCCUUGUCUUUCUCCUAAAGAAUAAACACGAUCCUUUUCAUAUUUUGCUCCAGGCCCUCUAAACCGGCUGUGUGCCUGCAGGUGUGUGCGUCUUGUCUUCCUACACACGAAGAGACUAGGAGAGUUCUGUACAUUUUGGUCUAAGUAAAGGCAAGGAGGUUAGGGAAGAGAAAGAAGUAUACCAUCUGGGAUAUAUUUGACUACAGGCAACAGAAAACUCUAUUAAUCACGGACUAAACAAUGAAGGCAUCUUGUUAUUUCACCUAACGAGAAAUCCAGAUGAAUGCAGACCAGAGAUGGACCAGCAGCUCAGUGAUGGCAUCAAGGAGAUAGGCUCUUUCUCACUUUCCCUCUCCAUCAUUUUCCAUGUGUGGUUUUUCAUCUUCAUACUGGAGGACUAAUGAUUAAAAAAUCAUUGCAACAGAAUUGAAAAACAGGAAGAAGUGGAAGAGAGGCAAGAACUGACAAUAAAAGAACUUUUCCUCAAAUGCCCCUCAGUAAAGGAAAAAGUUUUGCAAGAGAUUCUGUCACACGUCUCCUUAUAGCUCAUUGACCAGAAGUGGGUUACAUGACUGCCUCCAGCUUCAGCGUGACUGGAUCUUGCUCAAGUCCCACCUCAACGU
rnacentral:lncRNA from 1 species